rnacentral:rRNA from 1 species
AGUGAACGCUGGCGGUAGGCCUAACACAUGCAAGUCGAACGGCAGCACAGUAAGAGCUUGCUCUUACGGGUGGCGAGUGGCGGACGGGUGAGGAAUACAUCUGAAUCUACUUUUUCGUGGGGGAUAACGUAGGGAAACUUACGCUAAUACCGCAUACGACCUACGGGUGAAAGCAGGGGAUCUUCGGACCUUGCGCGAUUAAAUGAGCCGAUGUCGGAUUAGCUAGUUGGCGGGGUAAAGGCCCACCAAGGCGACGAUCCGUAGCUGGUCUGAGAGGAUGAUCAGCCACACUGGAACUGAGACACGGUCCAGACUCCUACGGGAGGCAGCAGUGGGGAAUAUUGGACAAUGGGCGCAAGCCUGAUCCAGCCAUACCGCGUGGGUGAAGAAGGCCUUCGGGUUGUAAAGCCCUUUUGUUGGGAAAGAAAAGCAGCAGGUUAAUACCCCGCUGUUCUGACGGUACCCAAAGAAUAAGCACCGGCUAACUUCGUG